AACGGUCUAUACCUGCGGUACCUGCGGAGGGAUCAUCAACAAAUCCAAACUUUGUCCUCAUUAUACCUUUGUGAACCCCCCCUCUUAAAUGGAAAUCGAAAGAUGGAAAGUUUUGAGGGGGUCAAUAUGGGGUAUAUUCUGGCCUUCUCCAGUUCGGUCGUGGAUUGCGAUUAGGUUAGUUAUACCUCUUUUUUUUAAACCCUGAUUUUCAAUUGUGGACUGAUUGUUUUGUUUUUUCUU
rnacentral:misc_RNA from 1 species